rnacentral:rRNA from 1 species
CACGUAGGGGGCGAGCGUUGUCCGGAUUUAUUGGGCGUAAAGAGCUCGUAGGCGGUUCGGCAAGUCGGGUGUGAAAUUUCGAGGCUCAACCUCGAAACGCCACUCGAUACUGCUGUGACUGGAGUCCGGUAGAGGAGUGCGGAAUUCCUGGUGUAGCGGUGAAAUGCGCAGAUAUCAGGAGGAACACCAAGUGGCGAAGGCAGCUCACUGGGACGGUAUGACGCUGAGACGCGAAAGCGUGGGGAGCAAACAGG